UACGUAGGUGGCAAGCGUUGUCCGGAAUUAUUGGGCGUAAAGCGCGCGCAGGCGGCCUCUUAAGUCUGAUGUGAAAGCCCCCGGCUCAACCGGGGAGGGCCAUUGGAAACUGGGAGGCUUGAGUGUAGCAGAGGGGGGUGGAAUUCCAUGUGUAGCAGUGAAAUGCGUAGAGAUAUGGAAGAACACCGGUGGCGAAGGCGGCCCCCUGGACAAAGACUGACGCUCAGGUGCGAAAGCGUGGGGAGCAAACAGG
rnacentral:misc_RNA from 1 species